AUACGGAGGGUGCAAGCGUUACUCGGAAUCACUGGGCGUAAAGCGCGCGCAGGCGGCUUGAUAAGUUGGAUGUGAAAGCCUACGGCUCAACCGUAGAACUGCAUCCAAAACUGUCAAGCUAGAGUCUGGGAGGGGAAGAUGGAAUUAGUUGUGUAGGGGUAAAAUCCGUAGAGAUAACUAGGAAUACCAAAAGCGAAGGCGAUCUUCUGGAACAGUACUGACGCUGAGGCGCGAAAGCGUGGGGAGCAAACGGGAUUAGAAACCCCAUAGUCC
rnacentral:rRNA from 1 species